UACAGAGGUCUCAAGCGUUGCUCGGAUUCAUUGGGCGUAAAGGGUGCGUAGGCGGCGCGGUAAGUCGGGUGUGAAAUCUCGGAGCUUAACUCCGAAACUGCAUUUGAUACUGCCGUGCUUGAGGACUGGAGAGGAGACUGGAAUUUACGGUGUAGCGGUGAAAUGCGUAGAUAUCGUAAGGAAGACCAGUGGCGAAGGCGGGUCUCUGGACAGUUCCUGACGCUGAGGCACGAAGGUCAGGGGAGCAAACGGG
rnacentral:rRNA from 1 species